rnacentral:tRNA from 1 species
GGUUCUAUGGUGUAAUCGUUAGCACUCUGGACUCUGAAUCCAAAGAUCCAAGUUCAAAAUCUUGGUAGAACCU